UACGUAGGCAGCAAGCGUUGUUCGGAGUUACUGGGCGUAAAGGGUGCGUAGGCGGUUGUUUAAGUUUGGUGUGAAAUCUCCCGGCUCAACUGGGAGGGUGCGCCGAAUACUGAAUGACUAGAGUGCGGGAGAGGAGAGUGGAAUUCCUGGUGUAGCGGUGAAAUGCGUAGAUAUCAGGAAGAACACCCGUGGCGAAAGCGGCUCUCUGGAACGGUACUGACGCUGAGACGCGAAAGCGUGGGGAGCGAACAGG
rnacentral:rRNA from 1 species